rnacentral:rRNA from 1 species
CCUACGGUGGGCAGCAGUAGGGAAUAUUGCUCAAUGGGGGAAACCCUGAAGCAGCAACGCCGCGUGCAGGAAGACGGCUCUAUGAGUUGUAAACUGCUUUUGUACGAGGGUAAACGCAGAUACGCGUAUCUGUCUGAAAGUAUCGUACGAAUAAGGAUCGGCUAACUCCGUGCCAGCAGCCGCGGUAAUACGGAGGAUUCAAGCGUUAUCCGGAUUUAUUGGGUUUAAAGGGUGCGUAGGCGGUCGGAUAAGUUAGAGGUGAAAUCCCGAGGCUCAACUUCGGAAUUGCCUCUGAUACUGUUCGGCUAGAGAGUAGUUGCGGUAGGCGGAAUGUAUGGUGUAGCGGUGAAAUGCUUAGAGAUCAUACAGAACACCGAUUGCGAAGGCAGCUUACCAAGCUACUUCUGACGUUGAGGCACGAAAGCGUGGGGAGCAAACAGGAUUAGAUACCCCUGUAGUC